rnacentral:rRNA from 1 species
UACAGAGGUCUCAAGCGUUGUUCGGAUUCAUUGGGCGUAAAGGGUGCGUAGGUGGCGCUGUAAGUCGGGUGUGAAAUUUCGGAGCUUAACUCCGAAACUGCAUUCGAUACUGCGGUGCCUGAGGACUGGAGAGGAGACUGGAAUUCAUGGUGUAGCAGUGAAAUGCGCAGAUAUCAGGAGGAACACCGGUGGCGAAGGCGGGUCUCUGGGCCGAUACUGACGCUGAGGAGCGAAAGCGUGGGGAGCGAACAGG